rnacentral:rRNA from 1 species
AUUGAACGCUGGCGGCAUGCCUUACACAUGCAAGUCGAACGGCAGCACGGGAGCUUGCUCCUGGUGGCGAGUGGCGAACGGGUGAGUAAUACAUCGGAACGUGCCCAGUAGUGGGGGAUAGCCCGGCGAAAGCCGGAUUAAUACCGCAUACGACCUACGGGUGAAAGCGGGGGACCGUAAGGCCUCGCGCUAUUGGAGCGGCCGAUGUCUGAUUAGCUUGUUGGUGGGGUAAAAGCCCACCAUGGCGACGAUCAGUAGCUGUUCUGAGGGGACGAUCAGCCACACUGGGACUGAGACACGGCCCAGACUCCUACGGGAGGCAGCAGUGGGGAAUUUUGGACAAGGGGGGCAACCCUGAUCCAGCAAUGCCGCGUGUGCGAAGAGGGCCUUCGGGUUGUAAAGCACUUUUGUCAGGGAAGAAAUCUUUCAGGCUAAUACCCUUGGAAGGAUGACGGUACCUGAAGAAUAAGCACCGGCUAACUACGUGCCAGCCGCCGCCGUAA